rnacentral:rRNA from 1 species
GGUUAAGCGACUAAGCGUACACGGUGGAUGCCCUGGCAGUCAGAGGCGAUGAAGGACGUGCUAAUCUGCGAUAAGCGUCGGUGAGGUGAUAUGAACCGUUAUAACCGGCGAUUUCCGAAUGGGGAAACCCAGUGUGUUUCGACACACUAUCAUUAACUGAAUCCAUAGGUUAAUGAGGCGAACCGGGGGAACUGAAACAUCUAAGUACCCCGAGGAAAAGAAAUCAACCGAGAUUCCCCCAGUAGCGGCGAGCGAACGGGGAGGAGCCCAGAGCCUGAAUCAGUGUGUGUGUUAGUGGAAGCGUCUGGAAAGGCGCGCGAUACAGGGUGACAGCCCCGUACACAAAAAUGCACAUGCUGUGAGCUCGAUGAGUAGGGCGGGACACGUGGUAUCCUGUCUGAAUAUGGGGGGACCAUCCUCCAAGGCUAAAUACUCCUGACUGACCGAUAGUGAACCAGUACCGUGAGGGAAAGGCGAAAAGAACCCCGGCGAGGGGAGUGAAAAAGAACCUGAAACCGUGUACGUACAAGCAGUGGGAGCCUCUUAAUGGGGUGACUGCGUACCUUUUGUAUAAUGGGUCAGCGACUUAUAUUCUGUAGCAAGGUUAACCGAAUAGGGGAGCCGAAGGGAAACCGAGUCUUAACUGGGCGCUAAGUUGCAGGGUAUAGACCCGAAACCCGGUGAUCUAGCCAUGGGCAGGUUGAAGGUUGGGUAACACUAACUGGAGGACCGAACCGACUAAUGUUGAAAAAUUAGCGGAUGACUUGUGGCUGGGGGUGAAAGGCCAAUCAAACCGGGAGAUAGCUGGUUCUCCCCGAAAGCUAUUUAGGUAGCGCCUCGUGAAUUCAUCUCCGGGGGUAGAGCACUGUUUCGGCAAGGGGGUCAUCCCGACUUACCAACCCGAUGCAAACUGCGAAUACCGGAGAAUGUUAUCACGGGAGACACACGGCGGGUGCUAACGUCCGUCGUGAAGAGGGAAACAACCCAGACCGCCAGCUAAGGUCCCAAAGUCAUGGUUAAGUGGGAAACGAUGUGGGAAGGCCCAGACAGCCAGGAUGUUGGCUUAGAAGCAGCCAUCAUUUAAAGAAAGCGUAAUAGCUCACUGGUCGAGUCGGCCUGCGCGGAAGAUGUAACGGGGCUAAACCAUGCACCGAAGCUGCGGCAGCGACACUAUGUGUUGUUGGGUAGGGGAGCGUUCUGUAAGCCUGUGAAGGUGGCCUGUGAGGGUUGCUGGAGGUAUCAGAAGUGCGAAUGCUGACAUAAGUAACGAUAAAGCGGGUGAAAAGCCCGCUCGCCGGAAGACCAAGGGUUCCUGUCCAACGUUAAUCGGGGCAGGGUGAGUCGACCCCUAAGGCGAGGCCGAAAGGCGUAGUCGAUGGGAAACAGGUUAAUAUUCCUGUACUUGGUGUUACUGCGAAGGGGGGACGGAGAAGGCUAUGUUGGCCGGGCGACGGUUGUCCCGGUUUAAGCGUGUAGGCUGGUUUUCCAGGCAAAUCCGGAAAACCAAGGCUGAGGCGUGAUGACGAGGCACUACGGUGCUGAAGCGACAAAUGCCCUGCUUCCAGGAAAAGCCUCUAAGCAUCAGGUAACAUCAAAUCGUACCCCAAACCGACACAGGUGGUCAGGUAGAGAAUACCAAGGCGCUUGAGAGAACUCGGGUGAAGGAACUAGGCAAAAUGGUGCCGUAACUUCGGGAGAAGGCACGCUGAUAUGUAGGUGAAGCGACUUGCUCGUGGAGCUGAAAUCAGUCGAAGAUACCAGCUGGCUGCAACUGUUUAUUAAAAACACAGCACUGUGCAAACACGAAAGUGGACGUAUACGGUGUGACGCCUGCCCGGUGCCGGAAGGUUAAUUGAUGGGGUUAGCGGUAACGCGAAGCUCUUGAUCGAAGCCCCGGUAAACGGCGGCCGUAACUAUAACGGUCCUAAGGUAGCGAAAUUCCUUGUCGGGUAAGUUCCGACCUGCACGAAUGGCGUAAUGAUGGCCAGGCUGUCUCCACCCGAGACUCAGUGAAAUUGAACUCGCUGUGAAGAUGCAGUGUACCCGCGGCAAGACGGAAAGACCCCGUGAACCUUUACUAUAGCUUGACACUGAACAUUGAGCCUUGAUGUGUAGGAUAGGUGGGAGGCUUUGAAGUGUGGACGCCAGUCUGCAUGGAGCCGACCUUGAAAUACCACCCUUUAAUGUUUGAUGUUCUAACGUUGGCCCGUAAUCCGGGUUGCGGACAGUGUCUGGUGGGUAGUUUGACUGGGGCGGUCUCCUCCUAAAGAGUAACGGAGGAGCACGAAGGUUGGCUAAUCCUGGUCGGACAUCAGGAGGUUAGUGCAAUGGCAUAAGCCAGCUUGACUGCGAGCGUGACGGCGCGAGCAGGUGCGAAAGCAGGUCAUAGUGAUCCGGUGGUUCUGAAUGGAAGGGCCAUCGCUCAACGGAUAAAAGGUACUCCGGGGAUAACAGGCUGAUACCGCCCAAGAGUUCAUAUCGACGGCGGUGUUUGGCACCUCGAUGUCGGCUCAUCACAUCCUGGGGCUGAAGUAGGUCCCAAGGGUAUGGCUGUUCGCCAUUUAAAGUGGUACGCGAGCUGGGUUUAGAACGUCGUGAGACAGUUCGGUCCCUAUCUGCCGUGGGCGCUGGAGAACUGAGGGGGGCUGCUCCUAGUACGAGAGGACCGGAGUGGACGCAUCACUGGUGUUCGGGUUGUCAUGCCAAUGGCACUGCCCGGUAGCUAAAUGCGGAAGAGAUAAGUGCUGAAAGCAUCUAAGCACGAAACUUGCCCCGAGAUGAGUUCUCCCUGAGACUUAGAGUCUCCUGAAGGAACGUUGAAGACGACGACGUUGAUAGGCCGGGUGUGUAAGCGCAGCGAUGCGUUGAGCUAACCGGUACUAAUGAACCGUGAGGCUUAACCUU